UCUCUUACCUUCCUCAUGUGGGCAGCUAUC
rnacentral:piRNA from 1 species